GGGAGUGUGGUUCAGUGGUAGAGUGCUUGCCUAGCAUGCAUGAAGCCCUGGGUUCGAUUCCUCAGCACCA
rnacentral:tRNA from 1 species